rnacentral:rRNA from 1 species
AGGAUGAACGCUAGCGGCAGGCUAACACAUGCAAGUCGAGGGCAUCGCGGUGCAGCAAUGCACUGGCGGCGACCGGCGUACGGGUGCGUAACGCGUAUGCAACCUGCCCCGCACCGGGGAUAGCCCGCCGAAAGGCGGAUUAAUACCCCAUGGUCCCGGGGGCCCGCAUGGGCAUCCGGGUAAAGCCUUGGCGGUGCGGGAUGGGCAUGCGUGCCAUUAGCUGGCUGGUGGGUAACGGCCCACCAGGGCAACGAUGGCUAGGGGGUCUGAGAGGAUGGUCCCCCACACUGGUACUGAGACACGGACCAGACUCCUACGGGAGGCAGCAGUGAGGAAUAUUGGUCAAUGGGCGGAAGCCUGAACCAGCCAUGCCGCGUGCGGGAUGAAGGCCCUACGGGUUGUAAACCGCUUUUCCCCGGGAAGAAUAACCCCGAUGAGUCGGGGGAUGCCGGUACCGGGGGAAUAAGGAUCGGCUAACUCCGUG